GUCUCUGCAGGAGGCAAAGGGACACUGGUGGCAGCAAGAGCUAUCCACAGGGCCGGGCAACACGUGCUCCUGCACUCCACCCGACUUUAAACGUGGACUACUUAAAUUUUUGAUAUUAUAAUUGUAUUUGGCCAAAGAUGAGUACCUGCCGAACUCUGGCUGGAGGCGAGAUUGGGUUCCGGUCCAGCUUCCACCACUCACAGGCUGUGUAGCCUCUGUCCCUCUGGGCCUGUUGCUGUCCUCUGCUGCAAAAUGCAGGUAAUUAGAAUGCAAUGUGCAUAGAUUGCCUGGAACACAGGAGCUGCUGUGUAUGUAAAUGAAGCUGCCGUCUGCAUCAGUUCAUCAAGGUGACCCAAGGUCAGUACUCAAUGUCGUAACAAACCUUGUCUGUCCGGGCUCCGGAAGCUUCAGUUCUCC